rnacentral:rRNA from 1 species
CCCUUAGAUGCUCUGGGCCGCACGCGCGCUACACUGGUCGAUGCAACGAGUUUCUUUCCUUGGCCGACAGGCCUGGGCAAUCUUUGAACAUCGAUCGUGAUCGGGAUAGAUUCUUGUAAUUUUUGAUCUUAAACGAGGAAUUCCUAGUAAACGCAAGUCAUCAGCUUGCAUUGAUUACGUCCCUGCCCUUUGCACACACCGCCCGUCGCACCUACCGAUUGAAUGGUCCGGUGAAAUCUCCGGACUGGCGUGAGUCGGAGCAAUCUGACAAACGCCGGAAAGUUGAUUAAACCUUACCAUUUAGAGGAAGGUGAAGUCGUAACA